GGCCCGUUGGUCAAGUGGUCUAAGACACCGGCCUUUCACGCCGGUAACAGGGGUUCGAAUCCCCUACGGGUCACCA
rnacentral:tRNA from 3 species